UACGUAGGGUGCAAGCGUUGUCCGGAAUUAUUGGGCGUAAAGCGCGUGUAGGCGGUCUCUUAAGUCUGAUGUGAAAGCCCUGGGCUCAACCCAGGAAGUGCAUUGGAUACUGGGAGACUUGAAUACGGGAGAGGGUAGUGGAAUUCCUAGUGUAGGAGUGAAAUCCGUAGAUAUCAGGAGGAACACCAGCGGCGAAGGCGGCGCUCUGGGCCGGUACUGACACUGAGGAGCGAAAGCGUGGGUAGCAAACAGG
rnacentral:rRNA from 1 species